rnacentral:rRNA from 1 species
AUUGAACGCUGGCGGCAGGCCUAACACAUGCAAGUCGAGCGAGCGGCGGACGGGUGAGUAAUGUCUGGGAAACUGCCUGAUGGAUGGGGAUAACUACUGGAAACGGUAGCUAAUACCGCAUACCAUCAGAUGUGCCCAGAUGGGCUUAGCUAGUCGGUGGGGUAACGGCUCACCUAGGCGACUAUCCCUAGCUGGUCUGAGAGGAUGACCAGCCACACGGGAACGGAGAAACGGUCCAGACUCCUACGGGAGGCAGCAGUGGGGAAUAUGGGACAAUGGGCGCAAGCCUGAUGCAGCAAUGCCGCGUGUGUGAAGAAGGCUUUCGGGUUGUAAAGCACUGUCAGCGGGGAGGCGUUACCCGCAGAAGAAGCACCGGCUAACUCCGUGCCAGCAGCCGCGGUAAUAC